rnacentral:rRNA from 1 species
UACGAAGGGUGCAAGCGUUACUCGGAAUUACUGGGCGUAAAGCGUGCGUAGGUGGUUUGUUAAGUCUGAUGUGAAAGCCCUGGGCUCAACCUGGGAAUUGCAUUGGAUACUGGCAGGCUAGAGUGCGGUAGAGGGUAGUGGAAUUCCCGGUGUAGCAGUGAAAUGCGCAGAUAUCGGGAGGAACACCAGUAGCGAAGGCGGCACUCUGGGCCGUGACGUGACGCUGAGGAGCGAAAGCGUGGG